AACUGGGUCUAAUACCGGAUAUGACCAUCUGGCGCAUGUCAUGGUGGUGGAAAGCUUUUGUGGUUUUGGAUGGACUCGCGGCCUAUCAGCUUGUUGGUGGGGUAAUGGCCUACCAAGGCGACGACGGGUAGCCGGCCUGAGAGGGUGACCGGCCACACUGGGACUGAGACACGGCCCAGACUCCUACGGGAGGCAGCAGUGGGGAAUAUUGCACAAUGGGCGCAAGCCUGAUGCAGCGACGCCGCGUGAGGGAUGACGGCCUUCGGGUUGUAAACCUCUUUCAGUAGGGAAGAAGCCGUAAGGUGACGGUACCUGCAGAAGAAGCGCCGGCUAACUACGUGCCAGCAGCCGCGGUAAUACGUAGGGCGCAAGCGUUAUCCGGAAUUAUUGGGCGUAAAGAGCUCGUAGGCGGUUUGUCGCGUCUGCUGUGAAAGACCGGGGCUCAACUCCGGUUCUGCAGUGGGUACGGGCAGACUAGAGUGCAGUAGGGGAGACUGGAAUUCCUGGUGUAGCGGUGAAAUGCGCAGAUAUCAGGAGGAACACCGAUGGCGAAGGCAGGUCUCUGGGCUGUAA
rnacentral:rRNA from 1 species